rnacentral:rRNA from 1 species
CACGUAGGGCGCAAGCGUUGUCCGGAAUUACUGGGCGUAAAGCGUGCGCAGACGGUUGCGUAAGUCAGAUGUGAAAGCCCCGGGCUCAACCUGGGAAUUGCAUUUGAGACUGCGUAGCUAGGGUGCGGAAGAGGGAAGCGGAAUUUCCGGUGUAGCGGUGAAAUGCGUAGAUAUCGGAAGGAACACCAGUGGCGAAAGCGGCUUCCUGGUCCAGCACCGACGUUCAGGCACGAAAGCGUGGGGAGCAAACAGG